rnacentral:misc_RNA from 1 species
GAAAUGCGAUACUUGGUGUGAAUUGCAGAAUCCCGUGAACCAUCGAGUCUUUGAACGCAAGUUGCGCCCGAAGCCAUUAGGCCGAGGGCACGCCUGCCUGGGUGUCACACAGACUAUAC